AGCUUAACCUUCGGGAGGGCGCUUGCCACGGUGUGGCCGAUGACUGGGGUGAAGUCGUAACAAGGUAGCCGUAUCGGAAGGUGCGGCUGGAUCACCUCCUUUUGAGCAUGACGUCAUCGUCCUGUCGGGCGUCCUCACAAAUUACCUGCAUUCAGAGAUGCGUAUCGGCACAGGCCGGUAUGCGAAAGUCCCAUCAUGGGGCCUUAGCUCAGCUGGGAGAGCACCUGCUUUGCAAGCAGGGGGUCGUCGGUUCGAUCCCGACAGGCUCCACCAUUUGAGUGAAACGACUUUGGGUCUGUAGCUCAGGUGGUUAGAGCGCACCCCUGAUAAGGGUGAGGUCGGUGGUUCGAGUCCUCCCAGACCCACCACUCUGAAUGUAGUGCACACUUAAGAAUUUAUAUGGCUCAGCGUUGAGGCUGAGACAUGUUCUUUUAUAACUUGUGACGUAGCGAGCGUUUGAGAUAUCUAUCUAAACGUGUCGUUGAGGCUAAGGCGGGGACUUCGAGUCCCUAAAUAAUUGAGUCGUAUGUUCGCGUUGGUGGCUUUGUACCCCACACAACACGGCAUGUGACCCUGAGGCAACUUGGGGUUAUAUGGUCAAGCGAAUAAGCGCACACGGUGGAUGCCUAGGCGGUCAGAGGCGAUGAAGGACGUGGUAGCCUGCGAAAAGUGUCGGGGAGCUGGCAACAAGCUUUGAUCCGGCAAUAUCCGAAUGGGGAAACCCACUGCUUCGGCAGUAUCCUGCAGUGAAUUCAUAGCUGCUGGAAGCGAACCCGGUGAACUGAAAUAUCUAAGUAACCGGGAGGAAAAGAAAUCAACCGAGAUUCCCUAAGUAGUGACGAGCGAACGGGGAGCAGCCCUUAAGCUGGGAUGGCUUUAGAAAACAUCUGGGAAGAUUGGCCAUAGAAGGUGAUAGCCCUGUAUUUAAAGGGCACUCCAGUGAGACUAGUAGGGCGGGGCACGUGAACCCUGUCUGAUAUGGGGGGGGACAUCCUCAAGGCUAAAUACUCUGACGA
rnacentral:sRNA from 1 species